GAUGAACGCUGGCGGCGUGCCUAACACAUGCAAGUCGAACGAAGCACUUUGACUUGAUUCUUCGGAUGAAGGUUAUUGUGACUGAGUGGCGGACGGGUGAGUAACGCGUGGGUAACCUGCCUCAUACAGGGGGAUAACAGUUAGAAAUGACUGCUAAUACCGCAUAAGACCACAGCACCGCAUGGUGCAGGGGUAAAAACUCCGGUGGUAUGAGAUGGACCCGCGUCUGAUUAGGUAGUUGGUGGGGUAACGGCCUACCAAGCCGACGAUCAGUAGCCGACCUGAGAGGGUGACCGGCCACAUUGGGACUGAGACACGGCCCAAACUCCUACGGGAGGCAGCAGUGGGGAAUAUUGCACAAUGGGGGAAACCCUGAUGCAGCGACGCCGCGUGAGCGAUGAAGUAUUUCGGUAUGUAAAGCUCUAUCAGCAGGGAAGAAAAUGACGGUACCUGACUAAGAAGCACCGGCUAAAUACGUGCCAGCCGCCGCCGUAA
rnacentral:rRNA from 1 species